rnacentral:rRNA from 1 species
CAUCACCGCUCUGCGCCGACCCUCAUCAUCAAGCUCGACUUCACGAAGGCUUUCGACUCCGUCGACUGGGGGAGUCUUCGCUGGAUCAUGUUGGUCCGUGGCUUCCCGAAGUUGUGUUGUGACUGGUUGGACAACAUCUUACAGUCUUCCCGGUCGGCGGUCCUCCUUAAUGGUUUUCCGGGGAGGUGGUUUCAGGUCUGGUGCGGGCUGCGCUAGGGGGACCCGAUCUCCCCCUACCUGUUCCUCCUCGUCGCCGACGUCCUUCAACGCAUGAUUCGGCAGGACGACGCCCUCAUGCACCCCCUUGUGGACGGUGAGCCCCCGGUCGUGCUCCAAUAG